AAGCCAAGAAACUCCUCCACGCCUUCUGCUUCCCAAUCUUGAAGAGGUCGAGGCACACCCAUUCGACGGGGAUUAGGAGGCAUAUCAAUGCUAAAGUGGUCUCCCACUGGAGAUUAUUUUUUCGCAGCGAAGUUUGAUGGGACAUUUUAUCUUUGGGAGACAAACACAUGGACAUCAGAACCUUGGUCCUCAACCAGUGGCUUUGUCACGGUUAGUAAAAUGAUAAUUCUGUUUGUGCAAUUGACCUGUACUUACGUGAUUAUCAGA